GGAACAAUAGUUUAUAUAAAACAAUCCCCUUGCAUGGGAAUAAAGAGUAAUCUUGUUUUA
rnacentral:tRNA from 1 species